rnacentral:tRNA from 1 species
UAAAUUGCAAAUUUAAAAAAGUUCCUUUAUUGGUUCCGGGGCUU